GGACAGUGACGAUUUUCAUCAAAGGUCUCGUUCGUCGUAAUAGCCCUAAUUGGGCCUUGCCGACCAAUCUGAUAUAUUCUGAGUCC
rnacentral:snoRNA from 1 species